rnacentral:misc_RNA from 1 species
AACGCACGAGACCUGCGGACCUGCGGAGGGAUCAUUACCGAGUGCGGGCCCUCUGGGUCCAACCUCCCACCCGUGUUUAUUGUACCUUGUUGCUUCGGCGGGCCCGCCAUUCUGGCCGCCGGGGGGCUUGCCCCCGGGCCCGCGCCCGCCGAAGACACCCUCGAACUCUGUCUGAAGAUUGUAGUCUGAGUGGAAUUAUAAAUUAUUAAAACUUUUAACAAUGGAUCUCUAGAUCGGAAG